CGGGACACGUGGUAUCCUGUCUGAAUAUGGGGGGACCAUCCUCCAAGGCUAAAUACUCCUGACUGACCGAUAGUGAACCAGUACCGUGAGGGAAAGGCGAAAAGAACCCCGGCGAGGGGAGUGAAAAAGAACCUGAAACCGUGUACGUACAAGCAGUGGGAGCACGCUUAGGCGUGUGACUGCGUACCUUUUGUAUAAUGGGUCAGCGACUUAUAUUCUGUAGCAAGGUUAACCGAAUAGGGGAGCCGAAGGGAAACCGAGUCUUAACUGGGCGUUAAGUUGCAGGGUAUAGACCCGAAACCCGGUGAUCUAGCCAUGGGCAGGUUGAAGGUUGGGUAACACUAACUGGAGGACCGAACCGACUAAUGUUGAAAAAUUAGCGGAUGACUUGUGGCUGGGGGUGAAAGGCCAAUCAAACCGGGAGAUAGCUGGUUCUCCCCGAAAGCUAUUUAGGUAGCGCCUCGUGAAUUCAUCUCCGGGGGUAGAGCACUGUUUCGGCAAGGGGGUCAUCCCGACUUACCAACCCGAUGCAAACUGCGAAUACCGGAGAAUGUUAUCACGGGAGACACACGGCGGGUGCUAACGUCCGUCGUGAAGAGGGAAACAACCCAGACCGCCAGCUAAGGUCCCAAAGUCAUGGUUAAGUGGGAAACGAUGUGGGAAGGCCCAGACAGCCAGGAUGUUGGCUUAGAAGCAGCCAUCAUUUAAAGAAAGCGUAAUAGCUCACUGGUCGAGUCGGCCUGCGCGGAAGAUGUAACGGGGCUAAACCAUGCACCGAAGCUGCGGCAGCGACGCUGAUGCGUUGUUGGGUAGGGGAGCGUUCUGUAAGCCUGUGAAGGUGUGCUGUGAGGCAUGCUGGAGGUAUCAGAAGUGCGAAUGCUGACAUAAGUAACGAUAAAGCGGGUGAAAAGCCCGCUCGCCGGAAGACCAAGGGUUCCUGUCCAACGUUAAUCGGGGCAGGGUGAGUCGACCCCUAAGGCGAGGCCGAAAGGCGUAGUCGAUGGGAAACAGGUUAAUAUUCCUGUACUUGGUGUUACUGCGAAGGGGGGACGGAGAAGGCUAUGUUGGCCGGGCGACGGUUGUCCCGGUUUAAGCGUGUAGGCUGGUUUUCCAGGCAAAUCCGGAAAAUCAAGGCUGAGGCGUGAUGACGAGGCACUACGGUGCUGAAGCAACAAAUGCCCUGCUUCCAGGAAAAGCCUCUAAGCAUCAGGUAACAUCAAAUCGUACCCCAAACCGACACAGGUGGUCAGGUAGAGAAUACCAAGGCGCUUGAGAGAACUCGGGUGAAGGAACUAGGCAAAAUGGUGCCGUAACUUCGGGAGAAGGCACGCUGAUAUGUAGGUGAAGCGACUUGCUCGUGGAGCUGAAAUCAGUCGAAGAUACCAGCUGGCUGCAACUGUUUAUUAAAAACACAGCACUGUGCAAACACGAAAGUGGACGUAUACGGUGUGACGCCUGCCCGGUGCCGGAAGGUUAAUUGAUGGGGUCAGCGCAAGCGAAGCUCUUGAUCGAAGCCCCGGUAAACGGCGGCCGUAACUAUAACGGUCCUAAGGUAGCGAAAUUCCUUGUCGGGUAAGUUCCGACCUGCACGAAUGGCGUAAUGAUGGCCAGGCUGUCUCCACCCGAGACUCAGUGAAAUUGAACUCGCUGUGAAGAUGCAGUGUACCCGCGGCAAGACGGAAAGACCCCGUGAACCUUUACUAUAGCUUGACACUGAACAUUGAGCCUUGAUGUGUAGGAUAGGUGGGAGGCUUUGAAGUGUGGACGCCAGUCUGCAUGGAGCCGGCCUUGAAAUACCACCCUUUAAUGUUUGAUGUUCUAACGUUGACCCGUGAUC
rnacentral:rRNA from 1 species